ACUGUGCCCACCCCUCCCAUUUUAAGACAGCAAUGAAAUCCAUCAAAAUGUUGAGAUUGCUGAGAAUUAUUUGUUGGGGAUUCAAAAUAUGGUUUCAAGGUAGGUCAGAUAGGCUCCACCAGUUGUCAGAAAAAAGAUCAGAAGUGGUUCCACAAGUCUCCUAUGGUUCAGCUGGAUCCAUAAACUGGGCAGAGCUGGGGGUGGGGUCUUCUUGGAAGCUCUAUGCCAUUAAGACCUAGAGGCAGCCUCACAUUGGCAUCAGGGAGGAGAUUAAAAGAAGAUGAAAUACCAACUUUGUCCUCUUCACAGAGCUAAAUGGCCUUUAAGUACACCUGUCAUUUAAUCCUCACAACCACCCUGGGAGCAAACAGGUGAAGUGACUGUCUCAAGGACACUCAUUGAACUUCACAUCACCCUGACUUCCAGAUGCAUUUCUCCAGAGAAUGUACAGGCUUUACUUCCACCUAAGAGAAUAUAGGAGCUUCUUAGGCAUCAAACAAAAAUCCAGUUUGUCUCAGGGGGGUUGUGUUCAUCUCCCCAGAGUCUAGAGGAGAGGAUUAAUCUCAUUAAGAUUAUGGUAUGAAUGGUAUCCUAGCUAUCCUCCCAUUGAGGACCGAAGGAGGAGCGUUUCCAUCUCCUAUUGAGGGCAACAAGUGUCUCUCACCUUGAUCUCUAGAGAUAAUUUACUUCCAGAAAAACAGAUGCCUCCCCACAGUUACAAAUUCCCCCAUAACUCCCCCUACACGUUUUCUGGUAUCCCCACUCGCACAAAAAAAGUUAUCAUAAAGCCUCUUACCAACUGCUGACCAGAAAACAAGGUCGCACCUUAUUUCUCAAAAUGUAGCUUACAAUGGGGUCUCUUUCACUCUCACUCUGUCCUCUUUUGCUCCUCUCCCUGCUCCUCUCUACUCUCUCUCUCUCCUCUGCUCUUUUAUGUCCUCCUCCCUCCCUCUCUCCUCCUCCUCCUUCCUCCUCUCUCCUCCUCUGCUUUCCUCUCUCCUCCUCCUCCUGCCUCCUCCAAUAUCCUAUCUCCCUCUCCUCCUCCUCUCCUCCUCCCACCUCUCCUCUUCCCUCCUCCUUUUCCUCCCCUCCUCCUUCCUCCUCCCUCCUCCGAUGUCCUAUCUCCCUCUCCUCCUCUUCCUCCUCCUCCUCCCUCCUCCGAUGUCCUAUCUCCCUCUCCUCCUCUUCCUCCUCCUCCUCCCUCCUCCGAUGUUCUAUCUCCCUCUCCUCCUCUUCCUCCUCUCCUCCUCCUCCUCCUCUCCUCUGGUUUCUCUCCUCUCCUCUCUACUCUCUCUUUGUCUGCUUUGUCUGUCUCUCUCCCUCUCUCUCUCGAUCACCCACUCUCACUCUCACUCACUCUCCCAGUCAUUCAACAGGACUGGUGAGACUCCUGCCCUUUUAUCUUGGUAAGGGUGUCUGAGGUACAAGUGACAUCACAAAGCACCAUUUUUCCUUCAUACCACUGACUUUUCUCCAGUCAGCUCUGGCAUUUGUUCAGAAAGAGAAAGCUUGUUCUUAUCCUAAACACAUGCCACACUCUCCCUUCACGGCCUUUCAAACUCUCUAUUUCCCACUCAUUCUCACUAAAUAUUUUUCUCAAUUUUCUACCUACAUUGUGUCUUUACCAAAGAUUCCAAAUAUCUCUCAAAGCAAAACUUUUAAAAUUUUGGUCUCUGUCUGAUUGUCCAUUCAUAAGGAAUAAUAUGUUGGUGUCCAGGGUAGAGAGAUAAGGGGAAAUUGAUAGGCUUCUGUCUAAAAUUGUUGGAUUCAGCUUUUUUCCUCUCAGAUACAUAUCCAAUCAAGGAAACAUAUGCGGCUUUCUUUCUUGAUAGGGCAACAACAUUGUCAUCUUCCUCAUUUUCCUCUUUUCUGUCUUCCCUAACCCUUUUUUCUUCGUAUUCCAUCACACCCUUGACUCUGAUUAUAAGGCACAGUACUGGAGUUGGACAGAGCUCAGCAGUCAGGAAGCCCUCAGAUCAAGGCCAUGCUCAUAUUUGACUAGCUGUGUGAGCUUUAGGAUAUUCUUAUCAUCUCAACCUGCCUCGGCUUCUUCCAAUCCCAAGUGUCCCAGAGUUGUGAGAAUUCAAUGAGGAGUCCUUGGAAAACUUAGUAUCAUGACUGAUACAUUGAAAGUGAUUAUUAAGCUUUUCCUCCCUUAACGUCAAGCUGCACCCUGUCAAGUGGGGUGCAAGCCAACCCAGCAGUUUGUAUCUCCUGAAAAUCUCCCAAUAGAAGGAGAGAGCUCACUACCUAAUCUCAUAGAGAAUUUGGAAGGAGCAAAACCAUCUCUUUGGUGGGGAGCAGCUCGUGCACUUGUCCUUUUCAUCUUUACGAGCCUCUUUGACUGAAGGGACAAUAUUCCUAUUCCUUGUGGCAAUAGUCAGACUCCUUUUGACCUUCCACCCUGUCAGCCUAUCAUCUGUAAUUUAUUUCCCUGGUCCUUUCUUCCCCCGAGCUGUCUAGCAAUCAAUUGGAGAUCACCCAUGCAAGAAGGCAUUCAAAGGAAGGGGUAACAGGUCAAGGUGGCAUUUCAGCAGGGACUUGAAGGAAGACAGGGAAUUCAGGAGGCAGACAUGAGGAAGGACAGACUUAGAGGGAUGAGGUCCAACCAGGGCAAAUGCACAAGACACAGGAGAGGGACGGUUUCAUCUGAAAAGCAGCAAUGAGAGCCUAGUGUCCCUGAAUCGCUGAGGAUGGUGAGAGGGUCUAGAAUGUGGAAGGAGCCUGGAAAGAGAAGAGGAUGGGGACGGGCUUCUUUGGGUGGUCUUUGGGGGUUUUUGUGCCAGGCGAUCUGAUAGACCCUAGUUCUAUUUCUGCCACUUCCUAGAUCUAUGCCCUUUGGAGGUACUGCAAAGCAGGGAGUUCCCUUUGCCUGGAUUCCAUAGUAAAUGGAAGGGAAUAAAGGUUAAGGAGGCUGGAAAGGGGAGGGGGUCAUUGGUGAAGGCCUUGGAAUGCUACACAAAAUUCUCUCUUUGAUCAUAAAGGGGAUAGUCAAGUCUUUGAAGCUUAUUGAGUUGGGGGUUGAGGGAAGUGACAUGGAUCUGUGUUUUGGGAAGAUUAAUUGCACAGCUGAGUGGAAGAAGGACUUCUGGGAGGAGAACUGUGGCUAUUGUUAAGCAAGGGGUGAUGAGUAUUUGCCCCACAGUAGUAACAAUCCCAGAUGCCACAAGGGUGUCUACAAUAGAAAUGUUACAGUGCUAAAAACUGAAGGAAUCGGGGAUGUGGGGGUGGAGAGAGAGUGAGAAUUCCACACUGACCAGUUGGCUUUGAGUGUGCUUAACUAACAGGAUCAAGGGCAUCCUCAACAGUACUAGCAAAGUUUAAAAGGUGGGAAUUUUUGUGAAGUAAGCUUAUAAGUUGAGUUUGGGGCAUGUUAAAGGAAUGAGAGUAGAUAAUUAAAAAACACAAAAUUAUCACUGUAUUCAGAUGAUAGGAUGGUAGAUGAUAUCCUUGAGAAUCCAAGAGAAGAAUCUAAAAAUACUAGGAACAAUGAACAGCUUUAGCAAAGUUGCAAGAUAUAAAAUAAAUCCACAUAAAUUAUCAGCAUUUCUAUAUGUCACCAACAAAGUCUAGCAGCAAAAGAUUCAAAAAGAAAUUCCACUGAAGAUAACUGUAGAUCAUAUAAAAUAUUUGGGAGUCUACCUCCCAAAACAAAGCCAGGAACUAUAUGAACACAAUGACAAAGCACUUUAACAAACACAGGAAGUCAGAUCUAAACAACUGGAAGACUAUCAAGUGCUCAUGGGUGGGCUGAGCCAAAUAAUUCUUUCUAAAUUCAGCUAUUCAUUCUGUUAUUAUACUCUACCAUUCAAAGUCCCAACAAACUACAGAGCUAGAAAAAUACUAAAGAAACUUCAUCUGGAAGAACAAAAGUCAAGAAUAUCAAGGGAAUUGAUGGGAAAAAAAUGAAAAUGCAGCUGCCCUACCUAGCUUUCCAGACCUAACAUGAUAUUAUAAAGCAGCAGCCAUCCACCAUUUGGUACUGGCUAAGAAGUAGUUGAUGAGUGGAUUAGGUUAGGUUCACAUGAGAAAAAAUACUCUGAAGAAAACAACUCCUUAAAUAGGAGAAUAAACCAAAUGAAAAAAGAGAUACCCAGUAUAAACUCAUACAGUGCAAAUGGAAGCUAGUGACUUUGUGAGACACCAAGAAUCAAUUAAACUAACUAAAACGAAUAAAAACAAGGGAGAAAAUAGGAAAUACCUCUUUGGCAAAAUAGCUGACCUGGGAAAUAGAUCCAGAAGAAACAUUUUAAAAAUUAUCGGUCUACCUGAAGAUUAUUAAAAAAAAAAAAAAAAAAAGAGCCUGGAUAGCACUCGUGAAGGAAAACUGGCCUGGAGUUCCUGAAAUGCAGGGGGAAAUACUCCCUGAAAGAAUUCAUCAAUCACUUCUGGAAAACGAUCCCAGGAGGAAAACCCCAAGGAGCAUUGUUGCAAAACUCCAAAACUCCAAUCUAGAGGCAAAAAUACUGCAUGCUGCCAGACAAAAGCCAUUGAGAUGUCAAGGAGAAACAGGAUUACCCGGGACCUGGUAGCUUCUACAAUAAAGGAUCAGAGGACCUGCAAUACCAUAUUUUGGAAGGUAAAGGACCUGGGGUGAUAACCAAGAAUUAACUACCCAGAGAGACUCAGCAUCACCUUUUGGGGUAGGGGGGAGGUGGAUCUUCAGUGAAGUCAGAGACUUUUAAUCAGUUCUACUGAAAACACAAAAAAACAGAAUUAAAAUAGGAAAUUUAAUCUGCAAACACAGGACUCAAGGGAAUUAUAAGAAGGUUAACAGGGGAAAAAUAUAUAUUGAAAGGUUAAACUGUUCACAUCCCUAGACAGAAAAGCUAUAUCUGUAACUCUUGCAAGCUUUAUCUGCCACUGGGGCACACAGAGGGGAGCAUCACAGGGACUGAGAAUGUGAUUGUGAAUGGACUCUGAUGGGAUGACAUCAAAGAAAAAGACAUUAAGGGCUGGGAAAAGGUUGCUUCUAGAGAAUUUUCUUCUUUGGAGAACGGCGGUUUCUUCCAAAUUUCACUAUAUUUCUCAUACUUGUUGUUCUUAUUGAGAUUAGAACAUCCCAUUCCAUUCAUGUACCAUCAAUAAUUUAAUCAGUCUCCUAUUAGUAGACAUUUCGUUUGCUUCGAUUUCUUUUCUCAAUGUCUGGUUGCUGGGAGCUACAAUGGAUUAGAACUCUGGGCUCUGGGAGUCAGGAAAAAUGACUGUGCCUAAUUCAAAUCUGGCCUCACACAUGUACUAGCUGUGUGACCCUGGGCAAGUCAUUUACCCCUGUUUGCCUCAGUUAUCUCACCUAUGAAAUCAAUUGGCUAAGGAAAUGGUAAACAACUUCAGUAUGAUAAGAAAGCUUCAAGUGAGGUCACAAAGAGUCAGGGAAACCUUUCAGUGACUCAGUGUGUGUGUGUCUCUGUGUGUGGAUGUGUGUGUGUGUGUGUGUGUGUGUGUGUGUUUUAACAUUUUCACACACUCCAGGAAUCGCAUUCUGCCCUUCUAGAAAAAGGACCCCCAAAUUCUCAAGCUAACACUGCAAUUCCACUAAAAAAAUACCUGAAUGUGAGCUGCAUGGAGUUGGCUUUCCUGAACACCUCAAGCCUGUGCAAAGGCGCCAAGUCCCCCGUCUUCCCAGAGCAUGAGUUUAAAAUGGAAAAUUGGAAAAUGACAGCACCCCAAAUCUCAAGAGAACAGUUCAAUUUUAUUAAAAACUGAAUAUGAGAGUUACACAGAGUUUGGCUCCACUGAACACCAGAAGUCUGUGCUAACCGGCCAAGUCUACCAUCUUCCCCACCCAAGGAGUUGUUCCCUUAUGGGAAAAGGACCCCCCAGUUCUCAAGAGAACAGUCCAAUUUAACUAAAAACUGAAUGUGACGGCUGCACAGAGUUGGCUCCACUGGCUCUAUCUUCUGGUGUACAGUCCUUUUGGACUGUGUCUUCAAAAUUAAAAAUUGAAUAUAAUUUUACUUUUUUUAGUGUUUAGUAAAUUUUUUUAUAAUUAAUAAACAGUGCUCUAUGAAUCAUGUGGGGAAAGAAAUAGCAGAGCAAAAAGAAAUGAACAUGGGAGGGAGAAAAAGAAAUUAAAAGGAGUGAACAUAACACAUAUUGCUUUACAUUCUUUCUCCUUUGUUCUAUUUCUGAAUGUAGAUGGCAUUGGCUGUUCCAAGCCUAUUGAAAUUGCUUUAAGUCACUAAAGGACUGAGAGCAAUUCUUUCCUAGCUUUCAUUUUGCAUAAAUGAUUCUUACUUCUACUUGUUCCACUCAGCCUCAGUUUGUUUCAAUCUUUGCAGGCCUUGCUAAAAUCAGCUUGUUCAUCCUUUUGUAUAUAAUCCUAAUAUUCCCUUGCCUUCAUAUACCAUCCCAGCUUGUUCAGCCAUUCCCCACCUCAUGCGUAUCUCUUCAUUUUCCAAUUCUUCGCUCCCACACAAACAAGCUGUUAAGAAACUAUUUUGCACAUGAGGGUCCCAUUUCCUCUUUUAUGAUUUUCUUGGAAUACAGACUCAGUAAUGGCAUCUAUGGGUCAAAGGGCAUGACCAGUUUUUUAGCCCUUUGGCCUACUUCCAAAUGGCUUUCCAAAAUGGUUGAAUCAAAUUCUAAAAUAUGAGCGAGACAAACUACAAAUCACAAAAACAUUCCAGAGUUUCGUCCAAAAGAAGGACAAUAAUGAAACAAUAUACUAAAACCUAUGAAAUAUGCAGCGAAAACAGUGACUUCUUUUGCCAAAUUUUUUCUUUCUAAUAACCUAGGUGAAUCAAAUAAAAAUGUGAGAUCAAAGACUUGCAACUAAACAACCUAGGAAAAGAACAAAAACACAACAAAUUAAUGUUGGAUUAAUUGUUGGA
rnacentral:lncRNA from 1 species